AACGAACGCUGGCGGCGCGCCUAAUACAUGCAAGUCGAACGAGAAGCUGUAGCAAUACAGUUGUACAGUGGCGAACGGGUGAGGAAUACAUGGGUGACCUACCCUCGAGUGGGGAAUAACCAGCCGAAAGGUUGGCUAAUACCGCGUACGCUUCCCAGUCUACGGGUUGGGAAGGAAAGCGAUGCCGUGGGUAUCGCGCUCAAGGUUGGGCUCAUGUCCUAUCAGCUUGNGGUGGGGUAACGGCUCACCAAGGCAACGACGGGUAGCUGGUCUGAGAGGACGAUCAGCCACACUGGCACUGCGACACGGGCCAGACUCCUACGGGAGGCAGCAGUAAGGAAUAUUGCGCAAUGGGGCAAAGCCUGACGCAGCGACGCCGCGUGGGGGAUGAAGGUCUUCGGAUUGUAAACCCCUUUCGGGAGGGAAGAUGGAACGAGCAAUCGUUCGGACGGUACCUCCAGAAGCAGCCACGGCUAACUUCGUGCCAGCAGCAGCCG
rnacentral:rRNA from 1 species